GCUGUUAAGUCAGCGGUCAAAUGUCGGGGCUCAACUCCGGGACUGCUUUUGAAACUGUGUGACUGGAGUGCAGGAGAGGUAAGCGGAAUUCCUGGUGUAGCGGUGAAAUGCGUAGAUAUCAGGAGGAACACCAGUGGCGAAGGCGGCUUACUGGACUGUAACUGACGUUGAGGCUCGAAAGCGUGGGGAGCAAACAGG
rnacentral:rRNA from 1 species